rnacentral:rRNA from 1 species
UACGGGGGGGGGCAAGCGUUGUUCGGAAUUACUGGGCGUAAAGAGCUCGUAGGCGGUUUGUCGCGUCUGCCGUGAAAGUCCGGGGCUCAACUCCGGAUCUGCGGUGGGUACGGGCAGACUUGAGUUCGGUAGGGGAGACUGGAAUUCCUGGUGUAGCGGUGAAAUGCGCAGAUAUCAGGAGGAACACCGGUGGCGAAGGCGGGUCUCUGGGCCGAUACUGACGCUGAGGAGCGAAAGCGUGGGGAGCGAACAGG